CUACAGGCUUAACACAUGCAAGUCGAGGGGAAACGAUAGAGAAAGCUUGCUUUUUCUAGGCGUCGACCGGCGCACGGGUGAGUAACGCGUAUCCAACCUGCCCAUCACUUGGGGAUAACCUUGCGAAAGUAAGACUAAUACCCAAUGACGUCUCUAGAAGACAUCUGAAAGAGAUUAAAGAUUUAUCGGUGAUGGAUGGGGAUGCGUCUGAUUAGCUUGUUGGCGGGGUAACGGCCCACCAAGGCUACGAUCAGUAGGGGUUCUGAGAGGAAGGUCCCCCACAUUGGAACUGAGACACGGUCCAAACUCCUACGGGAGGCAGCAGUGAGGAAUAUUGGUCAAUGGGCGAGAGCCUGAACCAGCCAAGUAGCGUGCAGGAUGACGGCCCUAUGGGUUGUAAACUGCUUUUAUAAGGGAAUAAAGUGAGCCUCGUGAGGCUUUUUGCAUGUACCUUAUGAAUAAGGACCGGCUAAUUCCGUGCCAGCAGCCGCGGUAAUACGGAAGGUCCGGGCGUUAUCCGGAUUUAUUGGGUUUAAAGGGAGCGUAGGCCGGAGAUUAAGCGUGUUGUGAAAUGUAGAUGCUCAACAUCUGCACUGCAGCGCGAACUGGUUUCCUUGAGUACGCACAAAGUGGGCGGAAUUCGUGGUGUAGCGGUGAAAUGCUUAGAUAUCACGAAGAACUCCGAUUGCGAAGGCAGCUCACUGGAGCGCAACUGACGCUGAAGCUCGAAAGUGCGGGUAUCGAACAGGAUUAGAUACCCUGGUAGUCCGCACGGUAAACGAUGGAUGCCCGCUGUUGGUCUGAAUAGGUCAGCGGCC
rnacentral:rRNA from 1 species